AUUGAACGCUGGCGGCAGGCCUAACACAUGCAAGUCGAGCGAGCGGCGGACGGGUGAGUAAUGUAUGGGGACUGCCCGAUAGAGGGGGAUAACUACUGGAAACGGUAGCUAAUACCGCAUACUAUCGGAUAACCCAUAUGGGAUUAGCUAGUAGGUGAGGUAAUGGCUCACCUAGGCGACGAUCCCUAGCUGGUCUGAGAGGAUUAUCAGCCACACUGGGACGUAGAGACCGCCCCGACUCCUACGGAGGGAGCCGGGGGGAAAUUUGGGCAAAUGGGGGAAACCUUAUCCAAGCCACCCGCGUGUUUUAUGAAGGCCUUCCGGUUUUAAAGUUACUUUGGCAGAAGAGCGGUAUCUGCAGAAUAAGCACCGGCUAACUACGUGCCAGCAGCCGCGGUAAUAC
rnacentral:rRNA from 1 species